ensembl:lncRNA
AUGCUCGGACAUUCUAACGCAUGUGGAGACAUUAUAGCCGCAGGCGGAGGUUUUGAGGCCAUUAACGCUUUUUCAGGCCAUGUGGGAACGCUUGCCUGGCAUUCUGCAAUGGGUGUUAUGCACAAUUCGGCACGGAUACACCAUUCAGUUUCGAAAAGACCCGCCUCCUUUUCGCAGAGUUCUUCCCACAAUUGUGAGUUCAGAAGAAACUGUAUUGCUGCGCCAAAAGAUGUCAUCUCUGCUGAGAAAAGGGCAUAUAGAAGAAGUACACCCCUCUCAGAUGAAGUCAGGUUUUUACAGCCGUUAUUUUGUUGUGCCAAAAAUAGAUGGCGGUUUAUGACCAAUAUUGGAUUUAUGCCGUUUGAAUCUUGCACUCAGGACGAGCAAAUUCAAGAUGUUGACGGUAAAAUCUAUUCUGUCUCAGGAUUUAUAUUUUCAUAUUCAGAUCAACAAGAGACACAGGAAGUUCCUCAGAUUCGCUUUAGAGGGCAAAGCAUAUCAAUUCCGUGUUCUUCCCUUCGGCUUAGCCCUGGCUUCACGGACUUUCACGAAAUGCAUGGACGCAGUUCUGGCCCCGUUGCAGCUCCAGGGCGUUUGUGUGUUAAAUUACCUGGACGAUUGGCUGGUGUUAGCACAAUCACAGACUCAAGCACACUCUCAUCAAGAUCUUGUGCUGAAUCAUCUAAGCAGACUGGGCUUACGCACAAAUUUCCAAAAGAGUGUUUUGAUCCCCUCUCAGCGGAUAACCUUUUUGGGAAUAGACCUGGACUCUCGCACAAUGAUGGCAAGAUUUUCUCUCCUGCGCAUUCAGUCUUUCGUGUCAUGCCUCCGCCACUUCAGAGCAGGCCGCUCAGUGACGGUGAGUUUGUGCCUCAGACUUUUGGGUCUAAUGGCAGCAGCGUCCCCCGAAAUCCGUCUGGGCUUACUUCACAUGUGGCCAUUUCGAUGGUGGGCGAAAAGCCAAAGGAUUUCACCCCGUUGUUAUCUGAAUCGAACGAUUUCGGUGACAUGUAG